AAUCCAUGGUGCGGGUAUUUUUUAAUCAACAUUUUGAAGUGUUCCCACACCUCAUAAAAGUUUUCUCCUUCCAUCUAUCUAAAUUCAACGAUCUCUCUUCUUAAUU
rfam:Gossypium raimondii chromosome 2, whole genome shotgun sequence.